AUGUCUCUGUGUCGGGCAGCUUUGCAGAGAUGUGGGCCUAUGGCUCGGCAUUUUCUCACAAAUUCACCCUUCUCUCACCUUAACAGAAAUGUGGUCUCUCGAAGGACCAUGUCAUCAGUCCCUGGUGGCUCCGGUGAGAACAUUGCUUACUUUCUGCUGUGCGGUGGUGCUCUUGCUGCAUCCGUCGCCUACACCUACUCAACCGUGACCUCAGACCAUGCCAGGUUUAUGGACCGCGUAACCGACAUCCAAUCCCGUCCCAAGGACGAAUGGAAGCCUAAACCAUGGCCACCCAAGAGUAGGGAUGAGGAUGAGGAAGCGCUUUAACUUAUACUGGGCUGCAGAGAACCUUGGCCCAAUAGUCAACAGUCAGGACUGUAUGGAUGAAAAUCACCCCUGCUACUACUACUGCUACUGCUACUGCUAAUGUCUCAAUGAGUCCUGCUCAAAGUACCUACAAGUAAAAUUACAUGAUUGAAAAUAGUGUGUUUGACUUUAUUUAUUGACUUUUAACGUAUUGACUUACAUAAGAAUCGGACAUUGU
rnacentral:lncRNA from 1 species